rnacentral:rRNA from 1 species
GGGGGACGCUUACCACUUUGUGGUUCAUGACUGGGGUGAAGUCGUAACAAGGUAGCGCUAGGGGAACCUGGCGCUGGAUCACCUCCUUAUACGAUGAU